rnacentral:ncRNA from 2 species
UACCUUUGCAAUUGUAUUGGUAAUUUUAUUAUCAGUUUUUUAGAUAAUGAAAUUGAAAAGAGAAUCCGGUGCAAGUCCGGAAUUGUAUCCCCAGUUGUGAGUCUUUAUAGUGAUUUUGCUCUACAAGUGUUACUUUUUCUAUAACGAAAAGGGAAGACCUGCAAAAUCAGGAACAAUCCAGAAGACUUGCCAAUGCAAAGUAAUGUUU